rnacentral:lncRNA from 1 species
UUGGACAUGUCAAGAUUGCUUUCGUUUGGAGUUGGUUGCAAUCUUGUGGAGUGUAUUUCAUCCAAGUACCUACACAAGGUUAGAUACAAUACAAGGGAGCAUAGUUUCCAAGACAUAAGAUGGUCAUAUCAAUGGCAUCAAGGAAUAGUCAGUCAAGCUCAUGCCCUUGCAUGCAUCCGAGUGAGCCUAGCUCAAGUUUGAAGCAUCAAUAAUGUUCAACUC